rnacentral:tRNA from 1 species
GGUGUAGUGUAGUGGUUAGGGUGCUGGACUAAGACUUGGGAGACCAGGGUUCAAAUCCCCACUAUAUCA